ACGCUCGACACCUACGGGGGGCAGCAGUCGGGAAUAUUGCGCAAUGGAGGAAACUCUGACGCAGUGACGCCGCGUAUAGGAAGAAGGUUUUCGGAUUGUAAACUAUUGUCGUUAGGGAAGAGAAAGGACAGUACCUAAGGAGGAAGCUCCGGCUAACUACGUGCAGCAGCCGCGGUAAUCUGAGCGGGCUGGCAAGGC
rnacentral:rRNA from 1 species